GUUGUAUAGUCAAGUAAUUAAGUGCAUGUGGUGGAUGCCUUGGCAGUCAGAGGCGAUGAAAGACGUGAUAGCCUGCGAAAAGCUCCGGGGAGGCGGCAAAUAUCCUUUGAUCCGGAGAUUUCUGAAUGGGGGAACCCACCUACUUUAAGGUAGGUAUUGCAACAUGAAUACAUAGUGUUGCAAGGCGAACGAGGGGAAGUGAAACAUCUCAGUACCCUUAGGAAA
rnacentral:rRNA from 1 species